rnacentral:rRNA from 2 species
AGUAACGGCGAGUGAAGCGGUAACAGCUCAAAUUUGAAAUCUGGCUCUUCCGGAGUCCGAGUUGUAAUUUGUAGAAGAUGCUUUGGGAGGUAGGGCCGGCCUAAGUUCCUUGGAACAGGACAUCAGAGAGGGUGAGAAUCCCGUAUGUGGCCGUGGCCUACGCCCGUGUAAAGCUCUUUCGACGAGUCGAGUUGUUUGGGAAUGCAGCUCAAAAUGGGUGGUAAAUUUCAUCUAAAGCUAAAUAUUGGCCAGAGACCGAUAGCGCACAAGUAGAGUGAUCGAAAGAUGAAAAGCACUUUGGAAAGAGAGUUAAACAGUACGUGAAAUUGUUGAAAGGGAAGCGCUUGCAACCAGACUUGGGCGUCGUCGAUCAUCCGGGGUUCUCCUCGGUGCACUCGACGAGGCACAGGCCAGCAUCGGUUUGGAUGGUUGGAGAAAGGCCCUAGGAACGUAGCUCUCUUCGGGGAGUGUUAUAGCCUAGAGCGCAAUGCAGCCCAUCCGGACCGAGGACCGCGCCUUUGGCUAGGAUGCUGGCGUAAUGGUUGCAAGCGACCCGUCUUGAAACACGGACCAAGGAGUCUAACAUCUAUGCGAGUGUUUGGGCGUUAAACCCAUACGCGGAAUGAAAGUGAACGUAGGUGAGAACC